UACGUAGGGUGCGAGCGUUAAUCGGAAUUACUGGGCGUAAAGCGUGCGCAGGCGGUGAUGUAAGACCGAUGUGAAAUCCCCGGGCUUAACCUGGGAACUGCAUUGGUGACUGCAUCGCUCGAGUAUGGCAGAGGGGGGUAGAAUUCCACGUGUAGCAGUGAAAUGCGUAGAGAUGUGGAGGAAUACCGAUGGCGAAGGCAGCCCCCUGGGCCUGCACUGACGCUCAUGCACGAAAGCGUGGGGAGCAAACAGG
rnacentral:rRNA from 1 species